UACGAAGGUCCCAAGCGUUAUCCGGAUUUAUUGGGUUUAAAGGGUGCGUAGGCGGGUUAUUAAGUCAGUGGUGAAAGCCUUCAGCUCAACUGAAGAAUUGCCAUUGAUACUGAUGAUCUUGAGUAUGAUUGAGGUGGGCGGAAUGUGUCAUGUAGCGGUGAAAUGCUUAGAUAUGACACAGAACACCGAUUGCGAAGGCAGCUCACUAAGUCAAUAACUGACGCUGAUGCACGAAAGCGUGGGGAGCAAACAGG
rnacentral:rRNA from 1 species